CCUUUGCCCCUGGUUGCCAUGGUCACCAUGUUCCCAGAGCUGUGGCGCAGGUGCUGUGUCACGGCGGCGGGUGUGUGUGUGUGAGGAGGGAGGAGACGCAGCGUGUCCCACUGAGAUUGAGGCUGAGAGGAACAGAGAGGAGACCCAGCUGUGUUAUAAACAGCCAUGUCCAGUGGAUGCCAGUAAGAAGAUCUUUAUAUUGAUUGUAAAAGAGGAUAAUGUCGCAGUGGAGUGUUUGGUCCCAGUGCUCGUGUGUGUCUCUGAGGCAGCAGCGCUACCGUGUAGCUCUCUCCCCAGCCACCAGGGGACAGCAGUGCACUCCUGUUGAAACAGAGAGCAGGACAUGCAGUCUCAGUCAAUGUGAUGAUUGUGAAGCCCCC